GGAGCCGGAGCCGUCCUGGUGGGCGGUGCGGUCUUCAAAACCGUUGUGAGGGGUGAAGAGCUCCUCGGGUGGGUUCGAUUCCCGCACGGCUCCGCCA
rnacentral:tRNA from 1 species